rnacentral:rRNA from 1 species
GACGAACGCUGGCGGCGUGCUUAACACAUGCAAGUAGAACGCAGUUGCGAACGGGUGAGUAACGCGUAGGUCACUGCCUGGUAGCGGGGGUUAACUAUUGGAAACGAAAGCUAAUACCGCAUACUACCAGAUGGACCUGCGUUGUAUUAGCUAGUUGGUGAAGUAACGGCUCACCAAGGCAACGAUACAUGGCCGACUUUGGAGGGUGAUCGGCCACACUGGGACUGAGACACGGCCCAGAACCCUACGGGAGGCAGCAGGAGGGAUUCUUCGGCAAUGGGGGGAACCCUGACCGAGCAACGCCGCGUGAGUGAAGAAGGUUUUCGGAUCGUAAAGCUUUGUUGUUAAGGAAGCGGUACUUAACCAGAAAGGGACGGCUAACUACGUGCCAGCAGCCGCGGUAAUAC